AAUCCUAAUGCAGUGUUAUAUGGCAAUGAUCCUGCAUGUGAGAGAGCCCCUAAUAGGCUUUCAUUUAUAUACAGUACAGGGCGAAAAAAGAUAAGUAGCUACUCUACUGUUGCGUAGGUACAGUUUAGAGAGAAAAAAAGCUAAGUAGCGAAGAGUAGUUCCUACGAACUGCACUUUUCUUCCUACACAGCUCAUGCGAAUCAAAACGGUAGUAGUAACGAGCAGCUUUGCUUUCUUUACUCCUGUGCUACUCUACUCUACUGAUGUGCUGCGCAUGCGCUACUCAAUACUGCGCAUGCGCAUUAAUUUUCACCAGCCCGGUUACAACUCAGUGGAAACGAGUAGAAAUGAGUCUUAGAAAGCUGAUAAAAGACACCCAGAAGAAGACAAAUCCUUCUUACUUUUUGAAAUACUUUAAGCAAGACGAUACUUAUUCUAUUGUGAAAGCAAACUGUGUAGAAGUUGAGCAGCUGGAAGCUGGUACCUCCUGCAGAGUAAGGGAUGGAAAGGACUUUCAUGAUGGCACAAUAGUCACCUUUGGAGAUAAGAAAGAUGUAAGUAAUGCAGCAGGUGAUAUUAUUAAGAUUGAGAAAGAGUC